rnacentral:rRNA from 1 species
AGCAGCCGCGGUAAUUCCAGCUCCAAUAGCGUAUAUUAAAGUUGUUGCAGUUAAAAAGCUCGUAGUUGAAUUUCGGUAUUAGUGCGCUGGUCAUGCCUUUGGUAUGUACUGGUGUUACUGAUUUCUACCUUCUGAAGAACCGUUAUGUCAUUUAUUUGGUGUGGCGGGGAAUCAGGACUGUUACUUUAGAAAAAAUUAGAGUGUUUAAAGCAGGCUCGCGCUUGAAUACAUUAGCAUGGAAUAAUGAAAUAGGACGUUUGACCCUAUUUUGUUGGUUUCUAGGAUCGACGUAAUGAUUAAUAGGGAUAGUUGGGGGCAUUAGUAUUCAAUUGUCAGAGGUGAAAUUCUUGGAUUUAUUGAAGACUAACUACUGCGAAAGCAUUUGCCAAGGAUGUUUUCAUUAAUCAAGAACGAAGUUAGGGGAUCGAAGACGAUCAGAUACCGUCGUAGUCUUAACCAUAAACUAUGCCGACUAGGGAUCGGAUGAUGUUAAUUUUUUAAUGACUCAUUCGCGCCUUAC